rnacentral:rRNA from 1 species
UGCGUAGGCGGGCUUGCAAGUGCCUUGUGAAAUCCCACGGCUCAACCGUGGAAUUGCUCGGUAGACUGCGAGUCUUGAGGUCGGUAGGGGCCGCUGGAACUCUAGGUGGAGCGGUGAAAUGCGUAGAUAUCUAGAGGAACGCCCAAGGCGAAGGCAGGCGGCUGGGCCGAAUCUGACGCUGAGGCACGAAAGCGUGGGGAGCGAACGGGAUUAGAUACCCCGGUAGUCCACGCCCUAAACGAUGUGCACUAGAUCCGGGAGGCUCUGACGCCAUCCGGGUCGAAGCGAAAGUAUUUAGUGCACCGCCUGGGGAGUACGGUCGCAAGGCUAAA